rnacentral:rRNA from 1 species
UUCUCUGCGAAAUCUAUUUAGGUAGAGCGUCAUCCGAAUACCCCGGGGGGUAGAGCACUGGAUGGGUAAUGGGGCCCCACAGGCUUACUGAUCCUAACCAAACUCCGAAUACCCGGGAGUACUAGAUGGCAGACACACUGCGGAUGCUAACGUCCGUAGUGGAGAGGGAAACAACCCUGACCUACAGCUAAGGCCCCCAAUUCAUGGCUAAGUGGGAAAGCAGGUGGGACGACCAAAACAACCAGGAGGUUGGCUUAGAAGCAGCCAUCCUUUAAAGAUAGCGUAACAGCUCACUGGUCUAAAUAAGUUGUCCUGCGGCGAAGAUGUAACGGGGCUCAAGCCAUGAGCCGAAGCUUAGGAUGCCGUAAGGCAUGGUAGCAGAGCGUAGUGUGACAUAAGACUUAUCCUCUUUAGUGUCCUUCGGGGCACCUUGGAGGAUCGAGUCUUUUCGAUGAAGCCGGCGCGUGAGCGAUCCGGUGGAGAGAUCACUAGUGAGAAUGAUGACAUGAGUAGCGACAAAGAGUGUGAGAGACACUCUCGCCGAAAGUCCAAGGGUUCCUGCUUAAAGCUAAUCUGAGCAGGGUAAGCCGGCCCCUAAGCCGAGGCCGAAAGGCGUAGGCGAUGGGAACUAGGUUAAUAUUCCUAGGCCGUGGAGUGGUG